GGAUGGCGUGCUUUCAACGUGGUAUGGUCGUAACCAAAAGGAUUUGAAUUUAAUAGGUAUAAAAAGAGGACAUUUUGUCCCAUAUGCUACAGUGACAUUAUGUCCCAUCAACAGUACUGACAUUUUGUCACCUCUGUUAUUCUGGCAUUAUGUCCCAUCAACAGUACUGACAUUUUGUCACCUCUGUUAUACUGACAUUUUGUCACCUCUGUAUACUGGCAUUUUGUCACCUCUGUUAUACUGGCAUUAUGUCCAUUCCAUUCCUUUAUAAAGAGGAAAAGUGAAUAAAAGGGUAAACAUCAUAAGGGGAAAA
rnacentral:misc_RNA from 1 species